UGAGCAUCUGUGACCUAUACAAUAUGACCUGUGACGUGUGAACUAUAAUUUGUGACCAAUUAAUAGUGACCUAUGAAUAUAAAUCUGUGAUAUGUGACAUGUAACAAGUACACAGAGACAUGUAACAUGUUAUCAGUUUACAUGUUCCAGAUCAUUGUAUACAAGACACUGGUCAUUGCAUCAAUUCACAAAUUAUUUACUUUAUUGGUCACAAAUUAUUGUUGGUCAUAGAUUAACGAAAUUUAUUGGUCACAAACCGUGUCUAUACAACCCAAACCAAUCCAAACCCAGCAACACAACCAGAACCUACACCAUUACCACUAGAACCACUAUUGUCAUUGCCAACACGACCACAGCAUAUCAUAUCAAAAAAUCACCCACAAAAAACCACCAACAAACCACCCACAAUAAACAAGAUAUUCAAACAAGAUAAAUAACAGACACAAAAUAGGAAAACACCAACACCAAAUAACUACAGUAACUGGAGACUCGCCAUUAUAACUACUACAAUAUCCACAUCAAAUCUAAAACCAAUAUCACAACCUCUAUAUCAAAUCCAAACCAAUCACCACCAACCCACCAUCACUGCAUUUUUUUCCCUACUAAAUUAACCAAUCUCAACAACUAAAGGCUGAGACUCGCCAACGAAGGCAGAGUUAAAAUGAAUAAAGAAAUGAAAAAUAGAUGCAAUAGGGACCAGUGGUGCUUUAAGGUGGGAAGACUAGUGACUGGGGGAUGGAUUCUCCUGGCCAACGAAUGAGGAUUUGGCGCGAUCAAAGGAUGAAGUCGAUGGUGGACAAAUGCUGUAGAUGGCGAUCUUAGAGCAAUUGCUAUAGGGCGCAGGCUUCGGGGCAGAGAUAUGCGGGAAACUUGUUGAUGAUUCGAUGAUUCAGUAGGAUACCAAUGAAAUUGAUAGGUCGCCGAAGUGAAAUGCAGUAGUGGUCAACGGAGUGAGAAUGGUGGGUUGCGACAGACAAUGGGUGAAGAUGGAAAAGUAGACUUCCAGCGGAAAUAGUGGUGGCGAUGGACAGAGGAUGAAGAUGGAGAGGGGUUGGAUUGUGGAUAUGUGAGUUCAAUUGGGGAAGAAAUCGAUUAAAUGAUAGGUAGGGUCGUGUGAGGUGAGUAAGGGGUAUAUUAUAGACUUAAUUUUUGAAUGAAUAAAGAUAAUUUCUGAUUUUUGAAUUGGAAAUUCAAAAAACAGGUCCCAUGUAAUUUCCACAAAAACAAAUGUAGCCAAGCUAAAAAAUCUAGCCCUUUCUAGUUCAAAUCCAAUCAAAAUUUU
rnacentral:lncRNA from 1 species